rnacentral:rRNA from 1 species
GAAAAGGAACUUACCAGGGUUCCCCUAGUAACGGCGAAUUAAGAGGGAGAGCUCAAAUUUUAANUCUGCCUUGUUCCANGGUCGAGUUGUAAUUUGAAGAAGCGUUUUYUUGGGCUYGCGGCCGGUAGAAGUUYUUUGGAACAGGACAUCAUAGAGGGUGACAAUCCCGUCCGUGACCGGUCGUGCGUUCAUCUACGAUACGCUUUCAAAGAGUCGAGUUGUUUGGGAUUGCAGCUCCAAACGGGUGGUAAACAUCACCUAAGGCUAAAUAUUGGCGAGAGACCGAUAGCGAACAAGUACCGUGAGGGAAAGAUGAAAAGAACUUUGAAAAGAGAGUUAAACAGUACGUGAAAUUGUUGAAAGGGAAACGAUUGAAGUCAGUCGUGCUGGCGCGAAAUCAACCCUCUCGUCUUGAGAUCACAUGGCGCGACGAGCCUCAAAACCGUCACRAAGCGUGAACUYYUGAUGAAAAGGUGCACUUUCGUGUCCGCUGGUUAACAUCAAUUUCGAWCGUCAUAAAAAGGCUGGAGGGAUGUGGCUCCUUCGGGAGUGUUAUAACCUUUAGCGGAAUGUGGUGUUCGGGAUUGAGGAUUGCAACGAAUACCUUCAGGGCUGUUCCACCUGGCUUCUCAUUGGUAUCCUGGUGACGACAGCUUGCUGACGUCGUUAGGAUCASCUUCUGAACAGGCUAGAGUGGRGNCNAAAUNCGUUAAGGAUGUUAACGUAAGGGCUUUAAACAACC